UAGCCCCCUGCUGCCAUCCCCAGCAACUGUACUUGGGUUCCCUAAUAGGGCAUCAGUGCCAUUCCCAGGCAUUCCUUGGUCCCUGAGGCUUGUGCUCCUUAUCUCAUCUGCUGGAGUCCUCCGGCAGAUGCUCAGCUUCGCUCCCCCGCACUUGGGGCUUGUGCUUCCCAGCUCUGCAGCUGGCAUCUCCCGGCCAGCAUCCCGCUCUUCCCCCAGCCAGCUGUGUUCUUGGCUGCCUUUUGAGCAGCCCGCGCCUCUCUGAAGCCCCGCCCCCACCGAUAUGCAGGCUCAGGCAGCUCUGAAAUUGCAGAUCCUGCAUCAGCAUUUCUUCCUGGCCGCUGCUUCUUUUGACUCCCUGCACUUUCCACAGAACAGAGAUUUCUGAGCCAAAGGAGGGCACUGAUUUGAGCUUGGAAGACCUACAACUAUUCCUGGGAAGCCAGCAGUACAAUCUGGAGCCUGCUGGCAUUUUGGAUGCAAGUGCCAAGAGCGCUACGUAAGAAGUUACAUAAGAGAAUUUGCAGUGCCCAGCCCUGGAACAAUGCUGUGUAUUAGCUCUUAAUCUAUUAAUUAUCUACAGAUUACAGAUACCUUUUUCAGUGCACUCUUCACAUAAAGUCUUAAGAAUUUUAAACACAUGCUUUUAUAUGUUUUGCGUAUAUAUUAUCCACCAAGAUAACUAAACCCAGUGCAUUUGAGUAAGGCUAGGUUAUAAGAUCUAAAAGACCUUAAAACUCUCACACUUACAUAAAAACAUUUGUAAUACUGUUCUGCAAAUGGCUGGCUAAUUGGUUUCUUACCACAUUCUGAAUCCUGUGCGACCCCACCUCACCCAGUUGGCUUGUGUUUGGGCUUCUUCUGCCUGCCUCUUUUCCUCCAGUUCUUAGAAGUUCUGGUGGUAUUGUAUUGGGUCCUUACCUCUCUGGGAUUCUCAGGACAUUUUAGUUACAAAAGGGCAAUGGAGUUUUAUCCAUAGCUCUCACACACGCACAUGAACACAUUAUGUUUUAUUCAAUUAAUCAAAUAACUUAUACCUAUAGAAAAAGAAUUUUCUCAUUUAUGCUUCUGGCACUUGUGUGUGGAUAAGUAAGAAUGAGUGAUCAACAGAGAACAGCUCUAUUCUCUUGUCUUAACCUGUGUUUCGCCUUUUUCAGGGGCAACUCUUGCAGAUCUAAGGAUGUCUGUGUCUGUUGACUUCCUAAUGAUGUAAUCCAGUUCUUCUUUUUCUUCUGUAUUAUGUUUUGCUGCAAUAGUAUAACUCAGUUCCUCUCCCUGAGUAACUGAACAUCAGAUUUACUGGAUGUGAGUCAGAAGGUAGCUACAGCUAGUUAUGAAUGGCCUGAUUUUUAAGGAUCUGUGCAUACUCAUUGCAUGUCACAGUGGGAAUGGCUGGGUGCUGGCCUCUGAAAGUCUCACCCUUCUAAAUUAGUGUGCCUUCAAUAAUUCUUCCAAACAGAAUAUAAAUCUUAAAGCCUCUGUAGGACCCUUUACCUUAUGCCAGAAACACUCAUGUCUUUUUUCAACAGGUCCAAAUCCAAAUUUGUCUGUUAGUGAUUGGGAUAUGAUUGAUAUGGAAGCCAACUUGUCACCAAUAAGGGAAACGUGUUUGUGUCUGUGUGAAAACAAUAAUGUAAAUAUAAAAUAGCAUUGGACAGAGCUUGUAGAUUCAUGGAUAAUUGAUUUACUUACAACAUUUCUUUGAAAAAUACCUGAAUAUCCUAAAUGCUGUUUGUUCCAAAGUCCCUUACAAAAUUUGUAUACUUGAAAUGCAAGCUUAGAACCUAGCUGCUGUUUUAAAAGCAUGGAGCGACAUAACAAAACCAUUUACAACAAAAAAUGGCAAAUAUAUUUAAUGGUAGAAACUCAGGGGGGUAGGGUUGGGGUGGGAAUGAAUUGAGCUGGAAUUUGACAUUGGGACCAAUACCACUAAAGUGCAGUGGAAGUAGAUGGGCAGAAGACCUUAGGUGUCACAGCUGGGAUUUCUUCUGCUGCUUGAGAAUAGUGGCAGAACUUCAGUGCUGCAGUAUCCACACAGGAUGAAGUCCUCUCCACAGACUUGCAAAUGAUCUUCCUUCACUUUCUCUGAGAAAGGAGGAUUUUAUUCCUUUUAUGUCAGUGCUAAUGAGGUACAUAUGCCUAUAAAGCCUCAGAUCAUCAAUGUCCUUUAUGAUGUCUUUAAUUUAAUAAUUAUGAAUUUGGAUCUCUUCAGCCUUCACAAGAGAUGUCUGAGGGGAGACCUUGCAGCAGCCUAUAAGUUUAUCAAGGGAGGACAACAGAGAAUUGGAGAUGCACUAUUUACCAGGGCACCCUUGGAGUAACUAGGAAUAAUGGGUACAAACUAAUGGAGAAUAGAUUCAGGUUAGACAUUAGGAAGAAAUUUUUCACAGUAAGGGUGGCCAGAAUCUUGGAGGUCUUCAAGAGGAGGCUAGAUAGGCACCUGGCUCAGGUCGGACACGAUGAUCCUUUGGGGUCCCUUCCAACUCUACAAUCUAUGAAUCUAUGAAUUUUAGCCUUCAGCAUCAGUCAUUUCCACACCUGAGUUAAUAUUACUACAUUUAAGUUAAAGUUUUUAGCUAGAGCUAAAUACAGUUUGCCAGGGUGUGAAAUAGAAGAGCAAAAGUACCAGGAAUUGCUAACAGACAGAAAAAUUGCAGAAGAAAGGAUAGUUGAAUAGUGAAACAUCAAGAUCGUUAAAAAGGAGAGAGGGUCGUUAACAGCUGUAGAGUAGGGAGAGAUAAGCAGGAAUUGAGGAGAUGAUAAUGAGUCAUGGCACUGCCUGAGCUGAAAUGUCACUGCCCCUCCCAGGCAGUUGGUUUUAAAAUUUUGGAGGAACAGGGAUCAAAGAGAGGGUGCAUCUAUGCCACUGCACCUCCCUGGAUCUGCCCCUGAUAAUGUGUAUAUGUUAUUGUAAUCGCCUUUGUCUCUCUACCGGAUGUCAUGUGUGUGACUUCCACUCAAGCCUUGCCAUGGCUUCUUCAGGACGAAUGGGUCAGUCGCCAGGCAACUUUGGGGUGAUGUACCAGGAGCCUCACCUGCCACAUCUUUGAUGAUCAGUUUAUUUCAAUCGGGAGGAUGAUGUUCUGGUCCCACCUCCCCUGAUGCUUCCCCCAGGACGCUCCCUUCGUGGCUCUUUCAUGGGGGCUCCGUCUCCCCUACACCCCACCUACCACCAACCGUGAUGGAACCAUUUGUCAUCGAGGAUGGUGUUCCAGCUUUUCACCAUGCUCAAGUCUACCAGGUCUGAUGGUCAUAGUGACGCCACCUUUCCUCGUGGGUGUCUGUGGUGGCCCUCUUUCUUCAUCUAUAUAGCGUCUGUGCUUAACAGCGCCCUGUUCUCUGGUGCCUUGCCCCUCUUUUGGGCUUGGACUUGGUUGUCUGUCAGCUGUGACUGACCUGCCAUGCCGCUGGGUCCCACCAGGCUCUGGUCUUUGUCAGAGGUCGAGGCUGUCCACAGUGGCUCUGUGGAUGGCGCCUCCGAUCUAGGCUGCCUAUGAAGUCCUGGGGUGACCCCUUCCUCAGGUGCUCACCAGGGCUUCCCUUGCAGAUUUCUUGUGGGCUCUUGCCCUCCCUGUUGUGCUGGGGACUCCACUUCUGGUCUCCCGGGUUGGUGUUCUAUUGGGCUUUUUAGCAUCUGGCUGGGCAAUCAGCCCCGGCAUGCCUAUACAAAGCACGUCCAACCUGAUGCGGGAGCUGUUCCCAGCUCCCUCCGGCUUGUCCGCUUUUUUUCUCUUUGAACUGUAUCUGCAGUGGCUCCGCCUGCCGCAGUUUCACUUUUGCUGGCUUUGCUCCUCUGGGUGGCAUCCCACCGCCUCCCGGCUUCAUGAGGUAAGCCUUUUUCACAGUUAUGCUGUAUUAAUAAAUUAUUGAUCUUGAAAAGUGACCUAGCUCUAACAUGAUCCCAAUUGUUGUAUAAUUGUACAUUGUGGUUUGUAUUUUUUUCAUCUAGAUUCAUGGUGCAUCUGGAGAAGAAUGAAAAUGGGCUGUCUUCAAAAGCAUUACAUCCUGUUUAACAUCACCUGCUCAGAGAAAUUAAUGGCCCAGCUACCCACACGUGGCAGCCAACCCAAGGAAGCUGAGACUAAAAUUCCUAGCUGAAACAGAAGCUGGGUGUAUAAGCCAGAAACUUGUCCAUGGAAAGGAGCACUUUGCCCACCCACACCGCUGUUAUGAGUCAUGGCAUUUAAUGAGCAUGUGCUGUAAUAAUUCAUAUUUCUGUGCCUCUUGAGUGGUCAAGCGAUAUCUAUCCCUAACAAAGCUGUCAUUCAGUUUUAGCUGGCCUGCAAUAAAUUCUGUUUAAUGGAGGGAAAUACCCCAUGUAAAAGGACUACCUCCUCAGGGCAUUUUUUUCAUCCUUUUGUCAAUAAACAAAGAGCUGUAA